AAGGUUACAAGUGCCUUUUCAUAUAUAGUAGGGUCUACCUCUUUAUAUUAGUGAGUGACAAGAGAAACCUGAAAUUGCUAGAGUAACUGCCAUAAUUAGAACUAUCCUAAGCUAACCAAACAUAUACUAUUGAGCCAUGCCAAGAAUAUUCAUGGGCAUUUUGUAAUAAAACCAGAGCUUUCAGUGUGUAGUACUUUCUCUAAAUAUGA
rnacentral:misc_RNA from 1 species